AGUGAACGCUGGCGGUAGGCCUAACACAUGCAAGUCGAACGGCAGCACAGUAAGAGCUUGCUCUUACGGGUGGCGAGUGGCGGACGGGUGAGGAAUACAUCGGAAUCUACUUUUUCGUGGGGGAUAACUUAGGGAAACUUACGCUAAUACCGCAUACGACCUACGGGUGAAAGCAGGGGAUCUUCGGACCUUGCGCGAUUGAAUGAGCCGAUGUCGGAUUAGCUAGUUGGCGGGGUAAAGGCCCACCAAGGCGACGAUCCGUAGCUGGUCUGAGAGGAUGAUCAGCCACACUGGAACUGAGACACGGUCCAGACUCCUACGGGAGGCAGCAGUGGGGAAUAUUGGACAAUGGGCGCAAGCCUGAUCCAGCCAUACCGCGUGGGUGAAGAAGGCCUUCGGGUUGUAAAGCCCUUUUGUUGGGAAAGAAAAGCAGAAGGUUAAUACCCCGCUGUUCUGACGGUACCCAAAGAAUAAGCACCGGCUAACUUCGUG
rnacentral:rRNA from 1 species